rnacentral:rRNA from 1 species
UGCCCGUCACAGGGGGAUAACCGGCGGAAACGGCGACUAAUACCCCAUAUGCUGCGAUGCUGCAUGGCAUUGCAAUGAAAGAUUCAUCGGUGGCGGAUAGGCUCGCGGGACAUUAGCUAGACGGCGGGGCAACGGCCCACCGUGGCGACGAUGUCUAGGGGUUCUGAGAGGAAGACCCCCCACACUGGGACUGAGACACGGCCCAGACUCCUACGGGAGGCAGCAGUGAGGAAUAUUGGUCAAUGGGCGGAAGCCUGAACCAGCCAUGCCGCGUGAAGGACUAAGGCCCUACGGGUCGUAAACUUCUUUAGACGCAGAGCAAUAAGGUCCACGUGUGGACCGAUGAGAGUAUGCGUAGAAUAAGCAUCGGCUAACUCCGUGCCAGCAGCCGCGGUAAUACGGGGGAUGCGAGCGUUAUCCGGAUUCAUUGGGUUUAAAGGGUGCGUAGGCGGCCGAGUAAGUCAGCGGUGAAAGACCGGGGCUCAACCCUGGAAGUGCCGUUGAUACUGUUUGGCUGGAAUGAUCCCGCCGCGGGAGGAAUGAGUGGUGUAGCGGUGAAAUGCAUAGAUAUCACUCAGAACACCGAUUGCGAAGGCAUCUCGCGAGGGGUCAAUUGACGCUGAGGCACGAAAGCGUGGGGAUCGAACAGGAUUAGAUACCCUGGUAGUCCACGCAGUAAACGAUGAUGGCUAACUGUCGGGCCUGCGGGUUCGGCGGCCAAG